UACGGGGGGAGCAAGCGUUGUUCGGAUUUACUGGGCGUAAAGGGCGCGUAGGCGGCGCAACAAGUCACUUGUGAAAUCUCCGGGCUUAACCCGGAGCGGCCAAGUGAUACUGUCGUGCUAGAGUGCGGAAGGGGCUACUGGAAUUCUCGGUGUAGCGGUGAAAUGCGUAGAUAUCGAGAGGAACACCUGCGGCGAAGGCGGGUAGCUGGGCCGACACUGACGCUGAUGCGCGAAAGCCGGGAGCGAAGCGGG
rnacentral:rRNA from 1 species